AUCGCCAAAUUUGAUGUGAGAUUUAUUUUGCCAAUUCAACCAAUCGAAUAACCUCUUGAACCAAGAACUCAAGAAGCAAAAUGGGAAAAGAAAAAAAAAUUGUACAUCGCAUGAAUUUUAAUCCCUUUUGAAAAGGCUAUAUAUUUGCAUUCAGUUUGCGUUCCCUCUAAAAGUUUCUAAAAGUCGUUCGUCACUUGUACGCUUCUCUAGGAAUUAGGUCAACAAUGAGAUCGACCUAUACUCUCUUUUUCUUUGAUCUUGCACCUAUCGGUGUAGGAUAUAUACUUGGAUUCAUGUUGAUAACCUGCUUAAAUUUGGAGUCUGAAUGAUCGAUCAAUAGGAUUUGCUUCAUCAUCGACAGGAAAGAGCGGCAGAGCACCAGUUAAACUUGUGAAGGUCAUGCUACAUUGACAUUUGUGCCUUCACCCUGGUUUCAGAAAGUAGAGAGAUUAAUAAAUAACGUCCAACCUUAUGGUUGCAGUUUUGCUACUUCCACGCAAGCCCCCACCCACCUGCAAGCCGACCUCGUCCACAUGGAAAGGCACAAUGUUGGUCGGCUUUCUGAGUUUUAUCUCUGCUACAACAAAUAUUGUAGUACAUAUUUUGCUUGAGGGUAACUUGAUGAACCAUUUUCCCCCUACCCUUGAGGUUACUAAGGUGAUGAAUCAAGCUGACUGAAGCUGUGCCUUUGAAGUUCAGUCUUUCCAAGGUCAGAAUCAUCCAGAUCUAUCGUUGAGGUGCAUUCCUGUUGGAACAUUCCAGACUAAGAGUGAGGGGGCUCGAAAGCAACGUAGUUCUUUGCUCUAAAUGUCUAUAAGAGCUCCAGUUUGUUACUUCCUCAUAGCAAUUGUUUCCAUUAAAUCUACAGAGAUCCCAGCCCCCAGGACUGUACCCGACCAGACCAUUAUAGCUUCAGGAUCACUAUACAAAUGAUGGCUAUUUUGGCACUCAAGCAGCUGGGACACUUGGAUCUUCUGAGGCCAGUGAUGUGGACUUUCUUCUGAGGCCAGUGAUGUGGACUUCCACGUGAAUCUAAAUACACGUGCUCCAAUUAAUGCCAUGCACACAGAAAAGUUCCAUUCAUCAUCAUUUCUUGACUGGGAUCUGUUUGGCUUCUUGUUUCCUUCCAGAACCUAGAUGGAAGUCCAUGCUCAGGUAUGGGGAAUGGGCUAUAUUGUACCGCUUCU